rnacentral:rRNA from 1 species
UACGGAAGGCAGCAGUGGGGAAUAUUGCACAAUGGGCGAAAGCCUGAUGCAGCUAUGCCGCGUGUAUGAAGAAGGCCUUAGGGUUGUAAAGUACUUUCAUCGGGGAGGAAAAACAAAACUAAUAAUUUUAUUUCUUGACGUUACCCGAAAAAGAAGCACCGGCUAACUCCGUGCCAGCAGCCGCGGUAAUACGGAGGGUGCUAGCGUUAAUCAGAAUUACUGGGCGUAAAGAGCACGUAGGUGGUUUUUUUAAGUCAGAUGUGAAGUCCCUGGGCUUAACCUAGGAACUGCAUUUUGAAACUGAAAUACUAGAGUAUCGUAGAGGGAGGUAGAAUUCUAGGUGUAGCGGUGAAAUGCGUAGAUAUCUGGAGGAAUACCUGUGGCGAAAGCGGCCUCCUAAACGAAUACUGACACUGAGGUGCGAAAGCGUGGGGAGCAAACAGGGAUUAGAUACC